ACUCCCAGGGAGACAUAGGGUCCCUGGAUGAAUCCAUGGUUGGCUAUUCUGAACCUUGUAAGGCUUCUAAGGGAGGAAGAUGUUUAUAGAUUUAAAAAAAUAAUGCUGCUUCUCAUUGUAUAAGAGGCAGACUUACUUGAUGAUUAAUUACUUGUGUGAUGUUUUAGGAAGAAUUAUGAACUUUAUGAUCUUCCAAUGAUUAAAAAAUGCCCUUUGAGGAACUGAACAGCCACAGUAAACACACUGUGUAUGUAUAAACAUGUUUAUUGCACACACUGAGGGCAAUAUGUAUGGAUGUUAAUUUAUAUUUAUGCCUUUUGAGAGCAUCGGGAGAACACAGUAAAUUCUCACUAAGAAGAAUGCUACUCUGCAGUGGAAGAACCAAACACUUGGUAAAUGGCUUGUGGAUGUUUCUUGAUGUGCAGAACCUCCGUUGGAUGGCUCCUGAGGUGUUCACGCAGUGCACUCGGUACACCAUCAAAGCAGAUGUCUUCAGCUAUGCUCUGUGUCUGUGGGAAAUUCUCACUGGCGAAAUUCCAUUCGCUCAUCUCAAGCCAGCGGCUGCGGCAGCAGACAUGGCUUACCACCACAUCAGACCUCCCAUUGGCUAUUCCAUUCCCAAGCCCAUAUCAUCUCUGCUGAUACGAGGGUGGAACGCAUGUCCUGA
rnacentral:lncRNA from 10 species